rnacentral:tRNA from 1 species
GAGGGGAUAGCUCAGUGGUAGAGUGUGUGCUUAGCAUGCACGAGGUCCUGGGUUCAAUCCCCAGUACCUCUG